CGCCUCCCUCCCGCACUCGCCCCUCCCCCGCGGCCAGCUCCUCCCGCCUCGCCUCUCUCCCUCUCCCUCCAAACCCUAGAACCUCACCCGCGCCUCCCAGCCCUGCCGCCGUCCAGGUCUAGCCCCAUGCCGCCGUCGUCUUCUCGCCCAGCCGGCCGCCACCGCACCGCACGCUCGUGCGCAGGGGUGAGAAGGGGAACUACUGCCCGCUCCUGGAGCGCGAGGAGGACGUGGUGAUGCGGCGCCCAGAUCCACGGUGACAUCGACGCGCCAUCAUCGACCUGAGCCGCCACCGUCCUCGAGGUCGGUCAUGGAGGGGGGUCCGACCCAGCUGCAGCCGUUGACGGAGACACCCCAAACCCUAGCACGGGGACCGAGCCGCCAUGGAAGGAGGCCAGCGGCGAGGACGACGCCAUGGUCCCUGCUGUGCUCCCGGAUCCGUCGCCCAUCUGCCCCGAUCUGGCCCUUCUCCUUCCCGCCGGCCAAGCGGAGCCGCUCGUGUCGCUGCUCUACCUGACGAGGGCAUCGUGCUGAGGAAAGGAGAAGAGAAGGACAGCCUGAGAUUCCAAUCCGAAUUAAUUUGACUUUAGAAUGAGACCCUGGAAAAUGAAUGGCUUCAAUGGUGGGUGCAUGUAUGGUCAGGGGAUUGUUUGGUCCAUGCAUGGAAGUGGACUGAUUAGCCCCAUUAUGAGAAGGCUGUGAGACUUUUCAAUGAUCCAGAUGUUGCACAUCCUGGGAGAAUAUUGAUGGCUAGGGUUGAUUGUGCAUCAGAGGACAGGUUGUGUGCUUAGGGAGGCGGCAAGGCCCAAGGAAUCUUGCGCAUAAAACAAUAUAAUGACCAAGAAGAGCAUGUGAGGGACCAGUAGGUGUUUAUCCCGAGUGAUUUCAGUGUUUGUCAAGUCUCAUUAAGCUUGCCACCUUGCUUUUUCUCGAGCACAUAGCAACUGAAGAAGAGAUGAAGGCAACUGAACAACGUGCUCGCAAAGUGAAGGGUUCUUGCAAGAAGAAAGAAUCGUUGUCAUCUUAUUUUCAUGAUGGCAUGGUGUCUCGACAUGUGAUGGAUUCACUCACACGGAGGAAGCUUUUCUCCGCUACUCCGGCGACAAGCGCACAAGCUUUUGGGUCCAUGGCGCCACCGGUAAACAAGAACAACUCUGGGUGCUUGAUUGUGUCUCUGGAGUCUGGAUAAGUGAAAAUAGAUGGCAGCGAAGUUGAACUGGUUUUGCAAACACUAGCAAGUAUUUCUUCAUCGCUUCCAUCGUGCAAGUUGCGCUAGCAUUGCGGGCAUUUUUCUUCAUAUUUGUGAAGAGGGGAUGAGGUUGAAAAAUGAAGCUGGUGAUGAAAAGAAUGGAGGGCACCCGCAAAGUGAUGACGAGGAAGGAGCCCUGCAGGAGACAGCUUUCAGAGCUUGAAGAAGAUGGUCUCACAUCCACGUUGAUCUAUGAAAAUAGCAAGCGACGGCGGCGAUGGACUGGUCACCCCGCAACACCAUUCUUCCUUCACGGUAACUAGCCACGGCAAGUGCUUCUGUCAUUUCUUUCGUGUUGAGAAGGCAGAGUCAAGGGCGCGAACAUGAGGUAUUCUGUGACUUUCUUCGGAGAGGCACAAAAGUGCAAAGGUCGUGAUGUGUAACGAUUUAAUCAAGGAGACAACCCAGUCGAGCUAUCAAGUAUUAGGCUACCUAACUAAGAAGUUUUAUUAUCUCGCAUUGCAUCUUGCUUGAUCAACACAUGCCAUGACCUGGUUAUUGUAUUUGUUAUAUUACAAUGGAUAGUCUUGGCUUGCUUUUGGACUAAAGCCUUUUGGUCUAUGUAUAGCUUGAUUUUGGACUUUAGCCUUUUGUUGUUUCGUGAACCAAUUGCUAUGUGCUGAAUGUGUCUGUAUCGAUGCAAUGAUUCUGAUAUAAAAUUAAUAUACUCCCUCUGUUUCUUUUUA